AGUGAACGCUGGCGGCGUGCUUGACACAUGCAAGUCGAACGAGAACGGAUUAUAGCUUGCUAUAAUUGUCAGCUAAGUGGCGCACGGGUGAGUAAUGUAUAGGUAAUAUGCCUCUUACUAGGGGAUAACAAUUGGAAACGAUUGCUAAUACCUUAUAUUCCUUUUUAUCAAAAGAUAAAAAGGGAAAGAUUUAUUGGUAAGAGAUUAGCCUGUAUUGUAUCAGUUAGUUGGUGGGGUAAUGGCCUACCAAGACAAUGACGCAUAACUGGUUUGGAAGAAGGAUCGGUAACACGGGACCGAGACCACGGCCCGAACUCUAAGGGGGGGAAGAAGUGGGAAAUAUGCACAAUGGACCAAAGUCUGAAUCAACCACGGCGCCUGGGAGAAGAAAACUUUCGGGUCGUUAAAUUCUUUUAUAUAAGAAGAUAAUGACGGUAUUAUAUGAAUAAGCACCGGCUAACUCCGUGCCAGCCGCCGCGGUAA
rnacentral:rRNA from 1 species